CCUACGGGUGGCAGCAGUGGGGAAUAUUGCACAAUGGGGGAAACCCUGAUGCAGCGACGCCGCGUGAGCGAUGAAGUCUUUCGGUAUGUAAAGCUCUAUCAGCAGGGAAGAAAAUGACGGUACCUGACUACGAAGCCCCGGCCAACUACGUGCCAGCCGCCGCGGUCAUACGUAGGGGGCAAGCGUUAUCCGGAUUUACUGGGGGUAAAGGGAGCGUAGACGGGGGUGCAAGCCAGAUGUGAAAGCCUGGGGCUCAACCCCGGGACUGCAUUUGGAACUGUGCUGCUAGAGUGUCGGAGAGGCAGGCGGAAUUCGUGGUGUAGCGGUGAAAUGCGUAGAUAUUAGGAGGAACACCAGUGGCGAAGGCAGCCUGCUGGACGAUGACUGACGUUGAGGCUCGAAAGCGUGGGGAGCGAACAGGAUUAGAUACCCUAGUAGUC
rnacentral:rRNA from 1 species